UUACGGCCAUAUCACGUUGAAACACCGGUUCCCGUAUGAUUAUCGAAGUUAAGCAACGUCGAGCCUGGUCAGUUACCUAGACGGGUACCCACUUGGGAAUACCAGGUACUGUAAG
rnacentral:rRNA from 1 species